AUGGCUUACUAUUUAGAUCAUCAGGCUUAUGCGAGCAACACUACAAACAGCAUGGAAAGUAUUCAAGAACUGAUAGGUAAGAUUUCCCAUCGAUUAGAUGAUUUAGCUCGGCAGCGAGAAGUAGUUUUUAAGGAUAGGCCUAGUUCUUACGAUCCUUAUUCCAGAGGCCAUCCUUAUGUUGCUCCUACUUGCCAUAUUUGUGGGUUUCAGGGCCAUUUGCCCGCUGAAUGUCAGCGUGGCUACUCUCACACUCCAGGUUGUUUUGGCAUGAGCUUCGCUCAAGAGCAUAGCUCAUACCAAAACAAUUACUCAUAUGGGUGGCCUGAAAACCCGAAUAUGUCAUAUAGGAGCAACAACCCUGAGAUCUCACCAUUUGCUUCUAGUAAUCAUAUGCAGGGAUUUAGGUACAAUGAGGAGAGCCACAACUAUGCUCCACAACAGAUUUAUUCAGCUCCUACUCAUAUACCUCAACACCGGGAGAUAUUGCCAAUGGAGUUAAAUGGUCCUCCACUUGGUCAACCAACAACUCCAGCAACUACUAAGCAAUCUCAUGUGCAAGUGCCCACACAAGAUGAAUUUGAUGAUAUAGACAAGCUCACAUUGCUUAGUCUCAAGUUCACUUGGAGUGCUGAGGAUGAUCCAAUUAGGCCGAUGAUACUAGAUGAAAUGAAGAAUAUCAAGAAUGGAAAAGAGCUAGUGGAUGAAGUAAGGAAGAUUGAGAAGAACAUCAACGCUGGUAGUACUAUCUCAUCUCUCCUUGAGCUGAGUGCUGCUGAGAUUUCUAGUCAUACAUGUGAGGUUCCAACACCUUCACAUUCAGCUGAGCAAGAUAGCGAGAGUCCAGAGGAAGAGAUACUUCAGAUCCAAGAAGAAAUUCUCGAAGCCAAGGCACAAGAUGAUCCAGAGCUCGAACAAUAA
rnacentral:rRNA from 1 species